rnacentral:rRNA from 1 species
UACGAAGGGGCUAGCGUUGCUCGGAAUUACUGGGCGUAAAGCGCACGUAGGCGGCUUUCUAAGUCGGGGUGAAAUCCUGGAGCUCAACUCCAGAACUGCCUUCGAUACUGGAGAGCUCGAGUCCGGGAGAGGUGAGUGGAACUGCGAGUGUAGAGGUGAAAUUCGUAGAUAUUCGCAAGAACACCAGUGGCGAAGGCGGCUCACUGGCCCGGUACUGACGCUGAGGUGCGAAAGCGUGGGGAGCAAACAGGAUUAAGA